rnacentral:rRNA from 1 species
AACAGGAUUAGAUACCCUGGUAGUCCACGCCCUAAACGAUGUCUACUAGUUGUCGGGUUUUAAUUAACUUGGUAACGCAGCUAACGCGUGAAGUAGACCGCCUGGGGAGUACGGUCGCAAGAUUAAAACUCAAAGGAAUUGACGGGGACCCGCACAAGCGGUGGAUGAUGUGGAUUAAUUCGAUGCAACGCGAAAAACCUUACCUACCCUUGACAUGGAAGGAAUCCUGGAGAGAUCUGGGAGUGCCCGAAAGGGAACCUUCACACAGGUGCUGCAUGGCUGUCGUCAGCUCGUGUCGUGAGAUGUUGGGCUAAGUCCCGCAACGAGCGCAACCCUUGUCAUUAGUUGCUACGCAAGAGCACUCUAAUGAGACUGCCGGUGACAAACCGGAGGAAGGUGGGGAUGACGUCAAGUCCUCAUGGCCCUUAUGGGUAGGGCUUCACACGUCAUACAAUGGUACAUACAGAGGGCCGCCAACCCGCGAGGGGGAGCUAAUCCCAGAAGGUGUAUCGUAGUCCGGAUUGUAGUCUGCAACUCGACUACAUGAAGUUGGAAUCGCUAGUAAUCGCGGAUCAGCAUGUCGCGGUGAAUACGUUCCCGGGUCUUGUACACACCGCCCGUCACACCAUGGGAGCGGGUUUUACCAGAAGUAGGUAGCUUAACCGUAAGGAGGGCGCUUACCACGGUAGGAUUCGUGACUGGGGUGAAGUCGUAACAAGGUAACC